rnacentral:rRNA from 1 species
GGUGGGUUGGCUUGUCAGGUUGAUUCCGGUAACGAACGAGACCUCAGCCUGCUAAAUAGUCACAUCUGGUUUACCGGGUGGCAGACUUCUUAGAGGGACUAUUAGCGACUAUCAGCUAAUUGAAGUAUGAGGCAAUAACAGGUCUGUGAUGCCCUUAGAUGUUCUGGGCCGCACGCGCGCUACACUGACGCGAUCAACGAGCCUCCUGGUCACGAGAGGACCGGGUAAUCUUGUAAACCGCGUCGUGAUGGGGCUAGAGCUUUGUAAUUAUUGCUCUUUAACGAGGAAUGCCUAGUAAGCGCGAGUCAUCAGCUCGCGUUGAUUACGUCCCUGCCCUUUGUACACACCGCCCGUCGCUCCUUCCGAUUGGGUGUGCUGGUGAAGAGUUCGGACCGGAUUUGGCCCGCAAGGGCCCUGGUUCGAGAAGUUCUU